rnacentral:rRNA from 1 species
ACGUACACUCCUGCGGGAGGCAGCAGUGGGGAAUAUUGCACAAUGGGCGCAAGCCUGAUGCAGCCAUGCCGCGUGUAUGAAGAAGGCCUUCGGGUUGUAAAGUACUUUCAGCGGGGAGGAAGGCGAUAAGGUUAAUAACCUUGUUGAUUGACGUUACCCGCAGAAGAAGCACCGGCUAACUCCGUGCCAGCAGCCGCGGUAAUACGGAGGGUGCAAGCGUUAAUCGGAAUUACUGGGCGUAAAGCGCACGCAGGCGGUCUGUCAAGUCGGAUGUGAAAUCCCCGGGCUCAACCUGGGAACUGCAUUCGAAACUGGCAGGCUAGAGUCUUGUAGAGGGGGGUAGAAUUCCAGGUGUAGCGGUGAAAUGCGUAGAGAUCUGGAGGAAUACCGGUGGCGAAGGCGGCCCCCUGGACAAAGACUGACGCUCAGGUGCGAAAGCGUGGGGAGCAAACAGGAUUAGAUACCCCUGUAGUCCCA